GAAUUUUAGGCCCUAGUCUUAACUGAUAAGGGCUGGUUCUAUCCAUAACACCUGUGCACUGUUGGAUGCUUGCAUCCACUUUUAAACUAAACAUUAUUGUAACAAAUGUAGUCUUAUUAUAACAUAAUAAAACUUUCAACAACGGAUCUCUUGGCUCU
rnacentral:misc_RNA from 1 species